UUUCAAGAAGCAAAAAAUAAAAUGAUCCACAAACAAUUCCAUGAACCAUUACUCUUCCAUCAGAUGAACACCAAGAUGGCCUUUUAACGUCGAAACUUUUUUCUCCGAAAAGCAAUAAUCGAUGUAACCUUAUUAUAGACAUUUAUUACAAUUGUUUAAACACUUCCUUGCGCUCGACAGGAUUAGUUUUAUUUUAUUUUAUUUUGCGGGUUAAAAGGAUUUCAUUGCUUAACUGUUGAAAAUCCGUUCCUACAUAGCAGAAGAACGUCUACAGGUCCAGAGCGCAACCAAACUACAGUUCGACCCUCCAAUCAUCCGAAAGCAGCAAGAGUGUGGCUAACAAGGUUCUGAUUCCUACUUACAUGAGCAAUAUUGAUAUCCCUUUCACCAAGGAGCCUCUUAAUGUUUAGAACUAUCAUUCUAUGUGGCCGUCUUUCAAGGGUAGACGCCUUGAUUAACUUGACUGCAUCCAUGCAGUCCAUCUCAAUGUCCAUCGGUAGAGUAGACCAUUGUAGAGCAAGGCUUAAUCCCUCCUGGCACGCCAACAACUCAGCUUGGAGUGGUCUGGAAAAAUGCGAGAUGGAACGACAAGCGGAGAAGACAAUGUUGCCGUUAUUAUCACGUAGAAUUAUACCAGCUCCUGCUAAUCCACCAUCGGCUUCGACGAAUGACCCGUCAACAUUUAGCUUCACACGGCGACAUGAUUAGUUUUAAAAGUUUAAACAUUUCCUUGCGCUGGUAUGGCUCAAUUGUAAGUGUGUCAUGCGGUGGCCAAGAUCAUCGCAUUGUAAUUGGUCAAAUUCAAACACAUUUCAGUCAGGUGGACACCGUGGCCACUUUCAAUGAGGAUGGCAAGGAGUAUAAUUGGACUAGAGGACAUGGACCUUUGGAGGGGUCAUGAGUUGUGCUUUGAGCUAGGGGCUUACGAUUUCUUUCUAAAAAAAAUACAUUAACAAAUGUUCACAAAUCAAAAAAUAUUCAUAAUAUAAAAAACUGUUCAAAUAAUGUUUUCCUUCAAAAAUCAAUCCAAUUUUUAUUAAAAACAAAUAAACAUUCAUAUUUUUUCAAGAAGCAAAAAAUAAAAUGAUCCACAAACAAUUCUAUGGACCAUUACUCUUCCAUCAGAUGAACACCAAGAUGGCCUUUUAACGUCGAAACUUUUUUCUCCGAAAAGCAAUAAUCAAUGUAACCUUAUUAUAGACAUUUAUUACAAUUGUUUAAACACUUCCUUGCGCUCGACAGGAUUAGUUUUAUUUUAUUUUAUUUUGCGGGUUAAAAGGAUUUCAUUGCUUAACUGUUGAAAAUCCGUUCCUACAUAGCAGAAGAACGUCUACAGGUCCAGAGCGCAACCAAACUACAGUUCGGCCCUCCAAUCAUCCGAAAGCAGCAAGAGUGUGGCUAACAAGGUUCUGAUUCCUACUUACAUGAGCAAUAUUGAUAUCCCUUUCACCAAGGACCCUCUUAAUGU
rnacentral:lncRNA from 1 species